GGAGUAAAAGUCGUAACAAGGUUUCCGUAGGUGAACCUGCGGAAGGAUCAUUACUGAGUGAGGGCCCCUCGGGGUCCAACCUCCCACCCGUGUUUAACGAACCUUGUUGCUCCGGCGGGCCCGCCUCACGGCCGCCGGGGGGCAUCUGCCCCCGGGCCCGCGCCCGCCGAAGCCACCUGUGAACGCUGUCUGAAGUAUGCAGUCUGAGACAAUUAUUAAAUUAAUUAAAACUUUCAACAACGGAUCUCUUGAUUCCG
rnacentral:misc_RNA from 1 species